AAGAGGGGUGGGAGAGAGCCCAGCCCUGCAGCACUGAAAAUGGCGGAAGCGUUCAAGGAGGCAUAACGGUAUUAAUGUGAACUGAAACUUAUGGCAGCUUAACAAGCUACAUGUUCUGCCAUGGAUCCUCAGCUCCUCUCUGCAGAUCUGCCAUGAAUCUUUUUCUGGCUUUUACUGGGGACUUCUGUUCUUAGUGUUAUUAUGACAAAUUGUGGAUUUUACUGAUGGGCAAGAAGGGGAGCCAAAUCAAAGCCCGGGAGGGUCCCACCAGCAGUGAAUCCUCCAAGCAAAGCAGGAAAUAACAAGGAUGAGGAUUCCGAAAACAUUUCCCUAGUGUGGUCUUAAAGCCCUUUCAAAGUGGGUAGCGAAGGUGUUUUUCAAACUCCUGCAAUUCAAUUAGGCUGACCUAAUUCUUACUUCUACUCUGCUACAGAAUUCCACAGCGAUACCAUUUAACUUUCUUAAGGUCACGUUGUGGCCCUGUUGAGACUUGGGUUACAGCACCAUUGACUGUGGGAGCUUAAAUACAGAGACUGCUGCUUGAAUGGGUAUCUCGUGCAUCUUCCUCUGAGUGAAGAAAACUAAAAACGUCCUUUUUUUUUUUCGUUUUGGGCAGAUGAAACUCUUUAAAGGAAGAUAAAUGCUGUUGUAGCCCAGGGCAAAUGCUACUGGCUAUGAUUUAUGAAAUUUAUGUAGUUUUUAAUUAGAAGAAGUGGAGGCUACAGGCCCGUUCUUCUAUAUUUUAUAUUAUUACCUUUGUGCUGAGUGCUCAGUGACUUAUAAAAUGACACGAAGCCCCACUAAACGCCUAUCGCUUAGUUGUGUGUAUCACAUCCCACAGUUUGCAGAAUUGCUUGUGUGUUUAAAGCAGUUCUGUCUUGAAAUAGAAAUCCUUACUGGGCAUUUCUUCAGCAGCAUCUGUUUUCCUUACUUAUCUUAAUUAGAAGCUGCUUUAAAAUUCAUUGACGACAUCAACAUUUGGAUAAGAUUAUGGAGUGAUUGUUCAGGGUUCCAAGUUGUGAAAUACAUAAUACUUUUCGAAUCACAAAAUUACCUUUUUUUUGCAACCUAUUCCUUAAUUUAAAUUAAUCCUAUGAGAAUGACAGUUCAGGCAUCUAUUUAAGACUGAAGCUUUGUUUGCCCACAGAAAUGGCACUGUUGUGAAGCAAGAGUAAAUUAAUCAGCAUAAACCAAUUAAAAUCAGCACACCAUUCUUAUGUAGAAAAUUCCUUCAGUUUAACUGCCAGCACAUCAUCACACUUCGGUUAGAGCUGUGUGUAGUAUGCCUUCAUCACUCUUUCCAUGAGCUGCUCUCAGCAAUGGGUUUGCUGAAACAUGUUAGAAGGCUGUCUGGUCCCUUAGUUUUUGUGUUCCUUGUCAGGCUGCCUGAUUUUCAAAGACAUGAAUUUCUGUGCUGGCUUGGAGCAGGGUACUGGUAAGAAGAGAUGGUGAAGUGACAAGAAAGUGUCUGAAUUUCUGAUAAAGACCGAGGUAGCCGGCUAGAUUCUAUCAAGUCCUGCCUUUUUUCAUGUCAGAAUAACACCAGAAUCCAUUCCAGCUAGGAUGGAAUGGCAAUUCUGCAUAAAAAUGGAGCCAGUGCUUUCCUAACCUUCCUGCUGUCUGAUGAACUUUCAGUCUACACAGCUCAUUGUGAAGAGGUGAAGAAGGAGUCUGAAGAAAUAUGCUAUUUUUGUCUAUUAGAAAAAAUAAGCUUUUUUUUCACACUAUGCUGUCUGGGUUCUUACCUCUUGAUUUCUUUUAAGUGCCUCAGCCUGUAUUUUUUUAAUUUUCUGUGACAAAGCUUUCUACACCAAAAGUGACAUACGAAGACUUGCAGUGCAGCUUCCUGUCUCAGCUGCCAUGAGACAGCCCUACUCUCACAAAUUUCUUUGACUUCUGCUGUAUGUGUGAAAAAGACAAAUAAGUAAAAUUUGCAAUGGAUAAAAGUACCCACUGGG
rnacentral:lncRNA from 7 species